GGGUUCCUGCGUAAAGCUAAUCUGCGCAGGGUUAGCCGGCCCCUAAGGCGAGGCCGAAAGGCGUAGUCGAUGGGAACCACGUUAAUAUUCGUGGGCCAAGGGAUGAGUGACGGAUUUCGAAAGUUGUAUUCCCUUAUUGGAUUGGGAAUGCAGCCUGGAAGUUCCUGGAAAUAGCCUCCCUAUUAGACCGUACCCGAAACCGA
rnacentral:rRNA from 1 species